GACGUAGGGCGCGAGCGUUGUCCGGAUUUAUUGGGCGUAAAGAGCUCGUAGGCGGCUCGUCGCGUCGACCGUGAAAACCCGCAGCUUAACUGCGGGCUUGCGGUUGAUACGGGCGGGCUAGAGUUCGGUAGGGGAGACUGGAAUUCCUGGUGUAGCGGUGAAAUGCGCAGAUAUCAGGAGGAACACCGGUGGCGAAGGCGGGUCUCUGGGCCGAUACUGACGCCGAGGAGCGAAAGCGUGGGGAGCGAACAGG
rnacentral:rRNA from 1 species